AUGGACCAAGGACGCGAGGACAUACUUCCCAAGCACCUGAUUCAUUACCAGAAGGAUCAUUCAGUCAACAUGUCUUUCACCUGCAGGUACUCAACACUUUAUUUGAAAGCUAUGGAUGUCGUGCGGAUGGGCCAUGCGAGUGCAGAAUCAUUCGAGGAUGUGUUUGUUGGUCUGGAUCCCUUUUUAGUGAGUAGCGCACCAUUAGCAGAGAAGAGGAAUGGUUUGGGUUUUAGGACCGCUUGGCAAACUUGCCCGCUGGGAGAUUGCCUGGAAAUGGAGAGGUUGCCUUUGUUGGUGGCAACGAUGCUGACCAUAGGGACAGUGGUGGCCAAGGACUAG
rnacentral:rRNA from 1 species